rnacentral:rRNA from 1 species
UGGUGGGUAGUUUGACUGGGGCGGUCUCCUCCUAAAGAGUAACGGAGGAGCACGAAGGUUGGCUAAUCCUGGUCGGACAUCAGGAGGUUAGUGCAAUGGCAUAAGCCAGCUUGACUGCGAGCGUGACGGCGCGAGCAGGUGCGAAAGCAGGUCAUAGUGAUCCGGUGGUUCUGAAUGGAAGGGCCAUCGCUCAACGGAUAAAAGGUACUCCGGGGAUAACAGGCUGAUACCGCCCAAGAGUUCAUAUCGACGGCGGUGUUUGGCACCUCGAUGUCGGCUCAUCACAUCCUGGGGCUGAAGUAGGUCCCAAGGGUAUGGCUGUUCGCCAUUUAAAGUGGUACGCGAGCUGGGUUUAGAACGUCGUGAGACAGUUCGGUCCCUAUCUGCCGUGGGCGCUGGAGAAUUGAGGGGGGCUGCUCCUAGUACGAGAGGACCGGAGUGGACGCAUCACUGGUGUUCGGGUUGUCAUGCCAAUGGCACUGCCCGGUAGCUAAAUGCGGAAGAGAUAAGUGCUGAAAGCAUCUAAGCACGAAACUUGCCCCGAGAUGAGUUCUCCCUGACUCCUUGAGAGUCC